rnacentral:rRNA from 1 species
ACGCACCAACGCGAAGCGGCGCCUACCCGCUCGCUUCCGUCCCCGACUCCCCCUCCCUCCCCAUCCUAUUCGCUCCGCCGCACCACCCACCCCAUCGCCCGCCUCGCGGAAUCCUCUCGUCUCCCGCCGCCGCCGCCACCGCCACCGCCACCGCCACCCCGGCCGGAGGCCACGCGCCCCACGCGGCCGCUCGAACCCGAGGUCAGAUCCAAACCCCAGCCCCGGGACCGAAUCGCGCCGCAGUUUUUCUAGGUUUUGGUACGGAUCUAGGGUUGGCCGCGGAAUUCCGGGGGCGGGGGCUAUUCGCUCGGAUUCCUCCGCGGCUCGGAUUUCGCGCUCAUGGCCGCCGGGCGCCACGGAGGGUACCGGGACUACGAGGCCAGGGAGCGGGAGCCCGACGCCGAGGCCGCCAGGAGGAGCCAGAGCCUCGGCGGCCGCCACCGGAGCGACGCCGACCGCCGCCGCGACGGCGUGCGCAGCAGCGGUGGCAGGGAAUUCUCAAACGGCUAUGGCCACCGCCGCUCGCACCCGCCCAAAAGCCGCCUCUCCACCAGGCUUGGGGACCGGGAGCCCGGCGAGGUGCUCAGCGGGAGCGCGUCAGACGACUCUGGUGGGAGGUCAGGCAGAGCGGCAGGGGAGAAUACCAUGUCCAGUUCUAGCAGGGAGGGUGAGGUGGCCGUGGGGGCGCCUGCUGCCCCUUCGCCCAGCAAAAAGAGGAAAUUUUCGCCGAUAAUUUGGGACAGGGAUAGCCCAAAGCCGCCGUCGUUACAUUCUGGUACAGUGACUCUGAAGGGAGUGGUGGAUUCCGCUUCUGCUGAUACAGCAAGUGACAAGAAAGUGGUGGAGUCCUCCUCUGCUCAACUCCCUCCCCCUCCCCCGCUGCCACCACAGGGGCACAUCCCAGAGAGGUUGGUCGUGGACAAUUCACCAAUGGAUGUGGACCUUGCCGUUGACACUGACAACACUGAGCAGUUGCACGUGCUGCAGGAUAGUAAAGUGCUUGAGGUAGAGGAGAGUAAAGUGAAGGAGGAAGAGGAGAGUAAAGUAAAGGAGGAAGAGGAGUACCCAACAAUGCGGAACAUAUCAACUUCAAGGUGGGCAGGUGCUAACGAUGACGACGAGGAGGGUGUAACACUGAGGAAGAAGAAAGUCUUAUCUCCUGCAGAUUCCGCUGAGCUGGGGCAGGGUAAGAAGACUCCUACACCAGAACUUGGGGAGGUUGUGACCAGUGAUAUGUCUGGACGGAGGACCAUGUCAAGGUCAUCUGAUUCAGGGAGAAUGGGUAACGAUGAGAAGGAAGAUUUGGAAUUAGGUAAAGGUGACUACAUGGAUGUUGAUAGAGGGGAGGCUAGUGUUAAUGGUUCAGCUAAUCUUCUAUCUUCUGAUUCGGAGGAUGAAGUGCGCAGGUCUGAAACCCCUGAGCCAGUGAAGCCGGCUCAUCGAUGUAUCAAUAUGCUGCAAGGUUGCAGAAGUGUUGAUGUGUUUGAGAGGCUCAACAAGAUUAAUGAAGGCACCUAUGGUGUUGUAUAUCGAGCAAAGGAUAAGAAGACUGCUGAGAUUGUUGCAUUGAAGAAGGUCAAGAUGGAAAAGGAGAGAGAAGGUUUCCCGUUGACCUCUCUUAGGGAAAUCAACAUCCUUUUAUCUUUCCAUCACCCUUCAAUUGUUGACGUUAAGGAAGUAGUAGUUGGCAGUAGUCUUGAUAGUAUUUUUAUGGUGAUGGAGUACAUGGAGCAUGAUCUUAAGGGUGUCAUGGAGACAAUGAAGCAGCCAUAUACCCAAAGUGAGGUCAAAUGCUUAAUGCUUCAGCUAUUAGAGGGUGUAAAAUAUCUUCAUGACAAUUGGGUACUUCAUAGGGAUUUGAAGACUUCAAAUCUAUUGCUGAAUAACCGUGGUGAGUUGAAAAUAUGUGAUUUUGGACUGUCUCGUCAAUAUGGGAGCCCACUAAAACCUUAUACUCAAUUGGUUGUGACUUUGUGGUACAGGUCACCUGAACUAUUGCUAGGAACAAAGGAAUACUCUACUGCUAUUGACAUGUGGUCCGUGGGCUGCAUUAUGGCAGAGCUUCUCGCCAAAGAACCACUGUUCAAUGGGAAAACAGAGUUUGAACAGCUAGACAAGAUAUUUAGAACACUUGGCACACCUAAUGAGAAGAUAUGGCCUGGUUAUGCCAAGUUACCUGGUGUCAAAGUCAACUUUGUUAAACAACCAUUAAGGGAUAAGUUCCCAGCUGCGUCUUUUUCUGGGCGUCCAAACCUAUCUGAAGCUGGUUUUGAUCUGUUGAAUAAGCUCUUAACUUAUGAUCCUGCGAAGCGUAUAUCAGCUGAGGCUGCAUUGGAGCAUCCAUGGUUCAGUGAAGUACCUCUACCUAAGUCGAAGGACUUCAUGCCAACAUUUCCAGCUCUAAACGAACUGGACAGGCGUACCAGACGGUAUAUGAAGAGUCCUGAUCCUCUAGAGGAGCAACGGUUGAAAGAACUGCAAGCAAAAGGCAACCGUGGCCUUUUCGGCUGAGCUCAAACCGCUUGCUUGGGUUUUGUUCGUACUGACUGCUAUACUUCAACCUGAAUCAGUGAGGUCAGAUGGCUUCUGAGGUGAGAUGUGCCAUGGACAUGAAGUAUCAGAUCUUCUUGGUGUCUUCAAGCAACUGACAGCGUUCUUUAGCAGGCUUUGUGCUUAGUGACUUGUGGCCCAUCAUAGAAUUCUGUUCACAGGAUUAGCACUCCGACCAGAUUGAUCAUGAAAGCAGAUCUAACCUGCCUCCAUCGUAAGGUUUGGCCUGUUGGCUUUAUUGGCUACACACUUUACACCUGUUUCACCUUUGGAACCUAUGUAUGUAAAAUAUUCCAGAUUGGUACGUUGUAAACAAUGCUCAGUGUGUUGGAUUUACAAUAAGAUUAUAAGAAUCUAUCAUUUUUUUCUCUCUGCUCCUAUAGUGCUCUUUUCUUUUGAUUUUUGCAUUUUGUUUGCAAGAAAUGAAAGUGGCGAAGGGGAAGGAUGCCUUUAGCUUUUCUUCAGGAAAUCAUGGACAGUAAUACAACUUGAAAGCUUAAGCUGUGGCUGCUUCAAGAGGAAGCUUGAUGGCCGCCAGCUUGUUGUACCUAAGUGACUAAAUUUUGUGGGAGGUCUUGAAGUGUAUUCAUCUGUUACUUGAGUGAGCCAUAGUGGUCACUGGUCAGUUUACUAUCCUUCCUUGUUUAUUAAUGCACCAUAUUCAUCCAACUGUUUUUUGGGGAUGGUCAUCUGUUAUUUGUUUGCAUGGAGUAUGGUUUUUGUUGAACUUUCAUUUCGUCCUCUCCCAUAUGGCCGACACUUUGUUUUCUAUUUGAAAUAUCUCCUUGACUGAUGUAAAUGCCACAACAUUGGCAUUGUUUACUCACCUCCACGAAAUUGAGGCUAUUUAGAUUAGUGAGGGAGGUCAAAAUUAGGAUGAAAUACUAGUGUUGCGUGCUCUCUGUUCCCCACUUUGGUUAUGGUAGCCUGGUUGUUUUGAUGGGCCACAUUUGGAACAAACGUUUGGCAUGCUCUUUGGGGAUGCUUAACUGCUUAUGGUUCUCGAUGUUCUUGUAGUAGUGUUUUCUUGUCAUGGGUUUACAUGAGCUGCCCUUGCCACUACAAAUGUUCAAUUGCUACUUGCCACUUCAUUCUGUAUGACGUUGGUGAUUCGGAGUUUUGCGUUGUCGAAUGUGAUGAUCAAUUUCUUGCCCAUUUGUUUGCCUCUUAUUUUAGUUUCAGUUCUUGCGGAAGAUAUAUCAGCCCAUCAGCAGGCUUGAGUAUGUUUUUGCGAUAUAAACAUCUGCGUAGUUGCAGUGGUGUCGGCGCGCAGAAUAGAAAGAUUGCAGUGGUAACUACGGUCUAUUCCCUCUGUUCGCAAAUAUAAGAUGUUUUACAUAUUUCAAUAUGGACUGAAAUGAAUGAACAAAGACACUAAAAUGUGUCUAUAUACUUGAAUCAGAAAAUGGUUAGAACAUCUCAGGACCGGAAUUGAAUUACUGACAGAGGGAGUACAUUAUAACCUAUGUUGGUAACUGAGAACUCGUAGAGUGGGGUUUUUGUUGGUGGCUACACAUUGAAACUUUUUAUUUGUUUGAGUUGACAAAGUUUUGUAGCACUGUUUUUUUGUUGCCUGGACCUCACGAAUGCCAUUACAUCACGACUAGGACAAGUAAUAUGGAUCGGAGGGAGUAGUAGAAAACAAAGCAACAUUUGUUGGCAAUGUUUUAGGAAGUUUUUUUUUUGGAUUUCACUGCUUAUCCAAUGUGCAUGUGUUCCCGGGAUCAGAGUUGCACUUCUGAGGCUCGUCACUUUAUGGAAGAGCAGGAUGCUUCUUCUAGCAUUUACACCCGACCUCAUGCUCCUGGUGAACAGUAAAAUCAUGAAAAAUAGAAAAAAAAAAGAAAAAAACUUAUGUUUUUUUUGUGUUAACCUUGGACAAAAUGUUCUACUCCCUCUUCCCUGUAAUAUAAGAACGAGAAAAGGUUCUUAUAUUAUGGGACGGAGGGAGUAUUGCUUGCAAAAAUUUAUCAGGAACGAGCAUUCCUGGAAGUUGUGGCAAAAAGAACAAAAUCGACAUUCCAAAACUGCUAUUUUUGAAAUUAUUUUGGAGUAUUGAUUUUUUUUUUGCCAUGACUUCCAUUUUGUGAUGAAAAUUUGCAAGGGUAGAAAUAUUUUGUCAAAGGUUACCAAAAAAAUUCAGCACUUAAAAAAAUCAUUUUCUUUUGGUUUUACUGUUUGGCUCAUUUGAGCUUGCGAGCAGAAGAAUGCUUUCGGCUUCUUUACUUUUACUAGUCCGUGAUAUAAGGGCCUCUUUGAUUCGCAGGAUUUUAAAAAUGUAGGAAUAAAAAAAGUAUAGGAUUGGGGUGGCAUGCCAAAUUAAAUCCUAUAAGAUUAGCAAGGAGUGUUUGAUGCCAUAUGGAAAACAAAAGGAAUUAUAAAAAAAGAUUGGAGUGGAUGUUAGAAUUUUCAUGAAAUGUAGUAUAAAAGAUCCAAUAGGAAAAAUUUCUAUGGUAUCUAAUCCUAUGAAUCAAAGGACCAACAUAGGAAAAAUUUCUAAGGAUUUCAAUCGUUCAGAAAUCCUAUAGAAUUCCUUUGAAUCAAAGGAGCCCUAAAUAGUUCUCUUGUAUAACAAGCAGCCUGAUAUCGGUCUCCUCGCUGGACGUGAACUGCCAUAGUGCCAUUCCGUGUCUUUGUUGCACUCCCCGCUGAACCAUGGGUUCGAGUCUUCUGGAUUGCCAUAGUUGAGUAAUCUUGUUGCUCACCACCCAUUGGCGUGGGCUUGUGUAGACUCCAUUAUUUGCAGGUCGACGGGGAUAUGACCAAGCAAGGAGCACGGGAUGACUCAAGCAAUACUACUCCGCUGCAGCGCACACUCGAUGUGAUAUUAUUAAUGUACAAAUGUAAAUAGCUCGUUAAUUAGUUAAGAUAAUCAAAUACUUCCAUGGGUGCAUAUAUAUGUUACUGAAAGAACGUUUCACGGUGAGACAGUAAAAUGUGGUCGUUGGGCGGUGCACGCUCCCCAGAACCACAGUGUUUCUCGCCGACAUGACUCACUGCUGUCGAUAGAGUAGAUGUGGUUGUCACGUGUGAUGCGCACGUGGUAACCAACCAAAGGGCCUCGCUGGAACAUAUGGUCCCGGCAGUUAAAAAACAUCGAGACGUACAAGCACUUCGCGGAACACUAUCU